GACGAACGCUGGCGGCGUGCUUAACACAUGCAAGUCGAACGGAAAGGCCCUGCUUUUGUGGGGUGCUCGAGUGGCGAACGGGUGAGUAACACGUGAGUAACCUGCCCCUGACUUUGGGAUAACUUCAGGAAACUGGGGCUAAUACCGGAUAGGAGCUCCUGCAGCAUGGGGGGGGUUGGAAAGUUUCGGCGGUUGGGGAUGGACUCGCGGCUUAUUAGCUUGUUGGUGGGGUAGUGGUAUACCAAGGCUUUGACGGGUAGCCGGCCUGAGAGGGUGACCGGCCACAUUGGGACUAAGGUACGGCCCAGACGCCUACGGUAGGCAGCAGUGGGGAAUAUUGCACAAUGGGCGGAAGCCUGAUGCAGCAACGCCGCGUGCGGGAUGACGGCCUUCGGGUUGUAAACCGCUUUCGCCUGUGACGAAGCGUGAGUGACGGUAAUUGGUAAAGAAGCACCGGCUAACUACGUG
rnacentral:rRNA from 1 species